CCUACGGGAGGCUGCAGUGAGGAAUAUUGGUCAAUGGGCGGGAGCCUGAACCAGCCAAGCCGCGUGAGGGAAGAAGGUACAGCGUAUCGUAAACCUCUUUUGUCAGGGAACAAAGGCGGGGACUAGUCCCCGGAUGAGGGUACCUGAAGAAAAAGCAUCGGCUAACUCCGUGCCAGCAGCCGCGGUAAUACGGAGGAUGCGAGCGUUAUCCGGAUUGAUUGGGGUUAAAUGGUGCGCAGGCGGCCUGUUAAGUCAGCGGUAAAAGCCCGGGGCUCAACCCCGGCGAGCCGUUGAAACUGGCGGGCUGGAGUUGGAGAGAAGUACGCGGAAUGCGCGGUGUAGCGGUGAAAUGCUUAGAUAUCGCGCAGAACCCCGAUUGCGAAGGCAGCGUACCGGCUCCACACUGACGCUGAGGCACGAAAGCGUGGGUAUCGAACAGGAUUAGAUACCCUGGUAGUC
rnacentral:rRNA from 1 species